UCCAGCUUUGGCUCUGCAAGAGUUGAUCCAAAAAAAGAGUACGUACCCAGUAAUGAACCAAACUCACUGCUGGCUGUACAAUUAGACUUGUGUUUCUCUACGUGUUUGGGGCUUUUUUUGAGGGGAAAAGUGAGCCUGUGCCAUUUGUUUUGAGCAGCUUGUAUGUUAUCUGCCAGCAGCUUUGUUUUUUUUCAUAUUUAUUCACAAAUUGAGUUCCCAUGUGGUGAGGAGUUCUAUUAAUAAAUUGGGCAGCAGAAGGCACAAGCAACAGGAGGAUGCAAUUUGUAGGCAGUUCUCUCAGUAAAAUCUUUAUCGAGAAGAUAGUUAUCAUCUAAUUUUUAGCAAGCUUUGGCUUUCUGUCCUUCUAGUCAUUUCCUUGUAUAGUCAUACAUCUCAUCCUAGCUAAAAAUGAAAAAGAUAAUGUUAGUCUUACUUCUCUUCUUAUCUUUACCUUGAAAAAAAAAAAAAAAAGGCUGUACAAAACCUCUAACUGAAGGAUUUCAAUUAUAGCUGCUGGAACUUGUUAGUGUGCAAAACCAUCCCUGGCAAUCAGUAACUGCACGUUAAUGCUGAGGCAUUAGGAGUUCCUCGAACAGAACCGUAGUUAAUCAGCACAUGAAAUGCUUCGAAUACUAGUGCUACGUCUGUGGAAAAGCAAACUCUCCCGUUCUGCGCCUCUUGUUACUGCUAUCAGUUUAUAAUACUAGCAAUGAUACCUGGACACAUCUAGAUGCCAGCAAAACAUUUUGGGAGCGGUUUAUGCCCAUUCUCAGGGGAGUGAAUUAAGACUGUAGGAAGCCAGAUUCUUCUUGCAGAUACCCGCUUCCACACUGUACGGGUCGGGCUUUCGGCAGAUGACUGGUGGCAUUUUGCACUGAAGAAGCUCAAACCUUUCAUCUGCCUCCACACGUUCACUUGCCUCAUUUAUUACUGGCAUUGCCUUACAAAUGAACCUUGGUAUUCUGGUCUUUGCUUCAUCGUGCAAAAAGCAUUGGCCAAAAGGAAGGCAGUAAAUAGAACUGUUGCUAGAACUGUUGCUGAAAAUAACAUGUGAAUCUUGGAAGUUUUAGGUUACUUCUUUUUUUCUUCUUUUUCCUGCAGCACCAUUGACUUAAAGAGUUCCUGACCUCUGCUACCUGUUCUCACUGUUCUGCUCCUCCAUUAGUUAUGCAUUUAUGGAGUUGGGAGUGAAAUGGAUGAGUUAAUCCAUCUCAAAUUAAAACUUUUUUGUUCCCUCCCCAUCCCCUCCUCCUUCCCCCCUGCCCCCCAAAUUAUUUUUAAUCUGGAUCAAUUUGUUGAGAGAACAGGGUGAGGGCAGAAUUGAGCAAAGAAAUUGAGAACUCUUCUGUGCUCAUUUAAACCUGCAUGUUUAAAACAUCACUCAUUUAGUGUUCUCAUAAAACUGAGAAGGAAAGCAACUUUCCCUCUGCACUAAGGGUAACCUUUCAGAAGUGCCAGCAGUUCUUCAAAGAAAGCAGCUGUCUCAUAGAGGAUGGGGGACAUGGCUGAUGGAUGAGUUCAGUAUUGCAGACUUAAUCUGAAGAAGUGUGGAAGAGGUGGCUGAUUCAGAAGUGAUCCCAAAUGGAUCUCAAAAUUGAAAUCUGGCAGGAAGUGUGGCAAACUGAAUCACAGAUUUGCUUAGCGGAGGCUAGGGAAGAAUAAACAGAAGAAAGACAAUACCCCUAGCUAAGGACAAGGAUUUGAAAGACAAAGGACAAACCGAUCUCUUUCAAGGACCUUAAGCUCCUGCCCCUGUGAAAAAAGGGAAGCUUGUUUUUCCAGAUACAGAACUUGGAGAUCAAAAAGACUCACUAACCUCUGAAGGAGACUGUUCCUCAAAGCUGCUGCAGGAGAGCUUAGCCGAGGUACUUUGUGGGAUUGGACUGUGCCUGCCAAGUCCCGGCAGCCUUGGCGGUUGUCUAGGAGAUGUUCACGUACCAGGAUCCUCCUGCAGAAGCCACCUGGCUGGAAAACUGGACAGCAAACAAAUUAUAAAACAAUUAGUGUUGCACUGUGUUUGCCCAGUGGAGGACCUGUCAUCUUUGACAGGAGGAAAAGGUCACAUUAUUUGGAACAUCUGUAGAAGAUAGUUCAACGUGUGGCAAGCUAACAUGCACGACUUGCUUUUCAGGAAAUCAGAAUCUAAAGCAGAGCCGCAGAGCCUGACUUGUCUGAAACGCCUCCGGAUUUCUGGAUUGCUGUCGCUGUCAUUGCAGCAGCAUUGCAGUCAGGAUCUUUAAAAAGAAAGACACAGCCAUGUUGCCAAGGGUUUUAAGAAGAUAAUUCUACUGGAUUCCAACAGAAAGGACCCUAUUUCCAUGUGGAUGUAUGAGGAGCUUAGGAGAGUGAAGCUAAGUCAUAUUAGCAAUAAUUAGAUUUAGAAUUUAUAGUGAUUAAAAGAAUAAAGAAAAGAAGAUCAGCUGCCAGAGAGAUAGGUAAGUGACUGAAUAUAGGGUCACGUGACAUGUACAGUAUACCAUCAUCUAAAACACUGUUUCACCAGUGAAAAUCUACUAAGAAUUCAUGCAAGUAGCUGUACGAUUCUGCUGUUCCUUUAUCCCGUGUGUUUAUUAGAGUUACAGUGUGUAGCUUUGUAGGCUUUUCCCAGAACUGAUGGCACAAAUUACACUACUCCCGUGGGAGAAAGAGAUGUAGAAUUUGGCCCCUGGUUCUUUUCGUUUCUAUGCAUACACUGAAGUUACAGUGUACUAAAUAUGAUAUAAAAGAUCCAGCAUUUCAAAUUAAAAAUGAUGAAGUAGAUGCUGAACUAAUAGAGAAAUAGCCUCCUCCUGUAAAGCAGUGUUUAGAUGGCAGCAGCCCUGCUGAGUCAUUGCUCUGGUGGAGCUCUGCCAGCUUAAUGCCAGCUUAAUGCCUAACUGGGGUCAAAUGUCCUGGGGCAAAGCCCUGGCCCUUUCUGUUUGUUCACCUAAAGCUCUGUCUCUAAGGCUGCCCUUUGCUGUGUAAAAGAAAUAGAGAUAGAUGAGGCCCUAACUGAGAAAUUCAGGGUCUGUUUUAUUGAUAGCUCGUACUUCAUUGAGGACGUAACUGAAAUUUGGCAGUAUCUCAGUCAUGCAGAGAUGUGAUUGUCUUGCAGCAACAACUUUGAAAACGCCGCGUGGAUUUGUUUGCAUUCAUGAGGACUUUGGUGCUGACUUUUCUGUGCCGUGCUCAUCUUAAGGUAGUCUGUACAUUGGGGGCCUGUUUCCUUGCUACCAAGGACUUGAUCUGAAAGUGUAAUUGAGUUCUGAAAUGACCAAAAUGAUUACGUGUUGCAGGUUUUACCUCACUCCUACCCAUGGAACAGACCGUAGAAACAGGCUCAGAAAUAGGAUAUAAUGCCGAGUGAGCAAAGACCUUCCAACACAAGCUUCUUUUUUGAGGGGGUUUGAUUUCCUUCAUAUCUGUGUUCUUGGCAAACUUGCAGUGUUUCCUGGGGAUCGUUUCCUUCUGAAGGCAGAUCAGGAAUGUUGUUGUGGAGCAGUUGGUUAACUACUGCACAAGCAGCAUAUUAGGCCAUACCUAAAUCUUAAGAAAUAAUAGUGUACAGAGUGACACCGGUACAGAGAAGCUCGUGGCGAUGAGAAUUGUGUUUAAAGUGCUGGAAAACACAGAGCUCAAAUAAUAGUAACAAAGCCUUUUACGCCUGGACUAUGCUGUUGCAAAUGCAAAAGCUAAGUCUACAGAUGCUGUAUAGUGAAAUAAGUGAAAAUGCUUGGGCUUGGGGUUUUUCUUCUUGUCAUUUGUUUUUCUUUUCUUCUUUCUUUCUUUUUUUUUUCCCCCAAGCAGCUCAAGGACAGGAUUUGUUUUCAAAGUACAGUGAGAGAACUGCAGUGAAAUUUCCAGCAGACACUGUUCUCACUCUUGUCCUAAUGCACAGUAGUACUUUGUUCUUCUUCAGCUUGGCUGGAACUGCAUCAGUCUCGAUUUGAAAGUAGUGUUUUUUCCUCUACGUUAUGGAUCCUGACAGACAGACUUUUCAGCUAUUCUUAGGGUCUAGUCAUAAGGAUAGCGGAAGUUCAUAGAGCUUUUAUGUUCCCACCAGGCUAUCUUUAUAUCUAAGGUGUCAUAGAUAACCUUGGGAAAGAUCUUUUUUCCUUUUUUUGUUAGAUACAAAUCUAACAUUGCCUGAUGGACCAGUUGAAUUAAAACAGCGAAGAAACCAACCAAAAAAGGUAAUUCAAGCAACUGCCUCCAAGAAGUGUGACAGCAGGGAAGAUUCAUUCCCUACCUAAUCUUUGGCAACCAAAAUUGCUGCUAAAUUGCCUAUUUUGUGAGUCUGGUCCGUGUAGGUUCCUUGUGUAGUCAGUGGUGGGAGAGGCCUUUCCAGGGAAUGAUUCAGAGUUGAUUCAGAGGGCAAAUUUAGCCUAAGACUUACCCUCCUCCUGGAGGCAGCUUAGCUGCUUGGAGCGGGUGUGAAUGCUCCUCAGUGUGGUUUAUUCUACAAAUAUUUGUGAAAGAUUGUUGGUUGUUUGGCUAGCAUCUCAAAAAGCCAUCUCCCAAGUUCAACUGAGUCAGUAAAGAGACCUUUUUUUGAUCCUAGUAUGAAUGUUUACUCUCUGUCCUUGGCGUAGACAGCAAUUUGUCAUCUUUUCCUUUUCCCAGGCUGUGUUCCCCCCAGCACACACACGUUCGUGUCUUCACUGGCAGCAUUUUCCUGCAUCUUUUCAGUAGGUCACACCAUAAAAACUUCUUGUUUUCAAUGGUAAAAAGGGGGUUGACAGGAAGGACAGGCUAUGAAAGGAGUUUCCAGUGAGGUAUUUCUUUGUCUCGUGUUAUCUUGCUGACACUGUAAUAGCAGUGCCUGUAACAUCAUCCUUAAGUAAAAGCUGAGAGUUUGCUGGUUGUUACCCUCCGGUGCAGGAGUGUCCUGUUUUUUUCCUGUUUGAAGCUGUAUUAGUUUCUCUCUUACUCGUUGACUUUAAAACCAGAUUUUUAAAGCAAGAUGACGAUUCAAGACAAGUGCGAUUUUGUGAUUAAGAUGACAUGUCUGUGAAAGGUUUGGCGUUGUCAUGGAAAUAAGGGAGAAAUGCAUUUUUUGUUUAUGAAAAAGAAGAGCAGGCUGAAGAAUUUUUUCACUCGAGAUGUUCUAAAUGAAACAAAACCUUCAAGUACAGAUUGUCUAAGUAUCACCAACGAAAGAAUUUCUAUGCAACUCUUGAGUGAUUUUCUAAGCUUGCAGUUAAAGAUGUGAAUGUCUUUGCACAGACAAUUAAACCUCUUCAGUUUUGUUUUUAUUUUUUUUACUUGAGACUGUUCUACUGCCUUCAUUAAUCUUUAAGUGUAUCUUUCUGUUAAAAUAUAGAAUAAUGAAAUUCAAGUUAAUGUAGUAUCAGUAUUUUAAGAGUAAGUAUGUUUUAUAGUAAAUAGGAUUUAGCAUAGGCUUACUAAAAUUACUUGAACUUUUCAUUUUCCAAAAUGUUGUGUAACUGUGGCGCAUCAUGUUGCUAACUACAUGGUGUGGAGGGCAGGAUGGACUUCGUCAGCAGAGCACGGAUUCAUGGCUGUGAAGAUAGCCAGAAUUAAAUCCCAAUUUCUUAUAUCUUUUGGUUGGAAGGUGUCCAAGUAUACUAAAAGCAAGCAUUUAUUCAACUUUCAAAAAUUAUUUACCCUGGUAAAAUUAAUUCCUUCCUGUCUGGGCAGGAAGUGGCCAGCGCCGUCUAUAAAGCUUUCCCCUUGGAGACAAAUCUGAAGGACUGCUUACUGACCUCUCCAUUUCUCAAUCUUUCAGCUUUCCAUAGCUUGUUUUGUCUCUUUUUGUCUGUGUAUCCAGCCCAUUCCUUGGGUGACGGAAUUUUACCACAGGGAACAGCCCUGCUAAUGUUCAAGAUUUGGAAACCUCUUUUAAAAGUCAAUACAAACGAACGUGUAGGUCAAAAAGAAGAAAAUCUUAGUCAGGGUUUUAUUAGAACUGUAUCCCUUGGCAGUACAGAAAUGUAUUUUUGUAGUAAUAGUAAACCAGACAAGAUGUGUUGUGCACUUCUGCUUCUUAGGAGAUUUGUAUAUGCAAAACAUAUAUCUUUGAAAUGAUGUAUCUGUUAAUUCAUUAGUAAGGGAAAAACUUGCUGGAUUUCAGUGCUGGACUUUCAGGUUAAGGAGCUGUUCAGCCAAAUCCUGUAUCGCAAAGGAUGGGACUUGAAAAAGUCUCUUCAGAUUCUCACGUUUCGGUGUCAUCCGCCACACUGGAAAAAUUGCUAGCACAAAAGUUGCGAUGAAUGGGAAGCUGCAGGUUGAACUGAGGCGGUUUUGAUUACCAAGCUCAGAGUUUCUACCUUUUCUAGGUUUAGGAGUAGCAGUGAGCAGGAUCUCUUGGUGAGAGAGAUCCUUAGGAUUUCCACUGACAGGAAAGCCUGGAUUCACCUUCUGCUCCCAAUUGCCAAAUCAGCCUUUUACCAAGGUGCUCAGAGAGAAGCUGUAGUGUUGAACUUAACUUUGCCUUCCAAAAAUCCACCAAAUCCGUGUUGUUAUGUUAUAUGUCUAUUUGCAUGACCAAAAGAUGGUAGUGGAAGACAGGGGCUGCCCAGAGCUGAUUAGCAGAGUCCUGUAAGGAUAAGCAGAGCAGCUCCUUUGCCCUGGCAUCGGCACAGAAGAGAAUUACUGUUUGCUAAUGGGAAGUCGUUUUCUAAAGCUCCAUUUUUGUUUCUCUUUUUCCCAGCAUGCAGAAAGCUUUGUCUUUGUAGGGUCUCUGGAGAAUGAUUGAGAAGUAAGGUUAAAUUCUUUCAGGACAAGUUCAUUGUA